rnacentral:lncRNA from 1 species
CUUCAUCAGAUGUCACUUCCAGGUAUCACAGGUCCAUAACGAAUGUAGUUUUGUUCAAAAAAGCUCAUCAUUUAUGUCCAAAAAUCUCCGUCUCGUUAGCACAUGAUGUAAGCCAGCCGGACUUCUCGUCAUGAACGAGGGGAAAAAAUAUAUUUCCGUUCGUUCAAACAUGUCAAACGUUGUAUAGCAUAAAUCAUUAGGGCCUUUUUUAACCAGAACAUGAAUAAUAUUAAAGGUGGACGAAUGCAUACUCUUUUAUAACGUAUUGGAAUGAGGGUACCCAACAUGAACUCGCGCGCCAGGUGUCUAAUGGGACAUCAUCGUUCCAUGGCUCUUGUUCGGUCAGAUCUCCCUCCAGAAGACUCAAAACACUUUGUAAAGGCUGGUGACAUCUAGUGGAAGCAAUAGGAAGUGCCAAAAUAUUCCUAAACCCCUGUGUUUUUCAAUGGGAUAGGUUUAAAGUCAAUACAACACAUCAGGUAUCCACUUCCUGUCAGAAAAUGUCUCAGGGUUUUGCCUGCCAAAUGAGUUCUGUUAUACUCACAGACACCAUUCAAACAGUUUUGGAAACUUUAGAGUGUUUUCUAUCCAUAUAUAAUAAGUAUAUGCAUAUUCUAGUUACUGGGUAGGAUUAGUAACCAGAUUAAAUCGGGUACAUUUUUUUUAUCCAGACGUGCAAAUGCUGCCCCCUAGACCCAACAGGUUAA